ACUGUAUAAUCCCUGCGGGGGAAAGAUUUAUCGCUAUUAGAUGAGCCUACGUUAGAUUAGCUAGUUGGUAAGGUAAUGGCUUACCAAGGCAAUGAUCUAUAGCUGGUCUGAGAGGACGAUCAGCCACACUGGAACUGAGAUACGGUCCAGACUCCUACGGGAGGCAGCAGUGGGGAAUAUUGGACAAUGGGCGAAAGCCUGAUCCAGCUAUGCCGCGUGAGUAAGAAAGGCCUUCGGGUUGUAAAACUCUUUUAAUAGGGAAG
rnacentral:rRNA from 1 species